CGGAUCGGAGUCUGCAACCCGACUCCGUGAAGCUGGAUUCGCUAGUAAUCGCGCAUCAGCCAUGGCGCGGUGAAUACGUUCCCGGGCCUUGUACACACCGCCCGUCAAGCCAUGGAAGCCGGGGGGCGCUUGAAGUGCGUUGCCGCAAGGCGCGCCCUAGAGCGAAACCGGUGACUGGGGCUAAGUCGUAACAAGGUAGC
rnacentral:rRNA from 1 species